rnacentral:rRNA from 1 species
UAGUCCACGCCGUAAACGAUGAGUGCUAGCUGUCGGGUCUUUAUGAUUCGGUGGCGCAGCUAACGCAUUAAGCACUCCGCCUGGGAAGUACGGUCGCAAGAUUAAAACUCAAAGGAAUUGACGGGGACCCGCACAAGCGGUGGAGCAUGUGGUUUAAUUCGAGGCAACGCGAAGAACCUUACCAGGACUUGACAUGCCUGUCACGGAUCGUAGAGAUACUUUCCUUCAGUUAGGCUGGACAGUGCACAGGUGUUGCACGGCUGUCGUCAGCUCGUGUCGUGAGAUGUUCGGUUAAGUCCGGCAACGAGCGCAACCCACAUCUUUAGUUGCCAGCAGUUCGGCGGGGCACUCUAAAGAAACUGCCCGGGAUAAGCGGGAGGAAGGUGUGGAUGACGUCAAGUCCUCAUGGCCCUUACGGGGUUGGGGCUACACACGUGCUACAAUGGCAGUGAC